rnacentral:rRNA from 1 species
GGCCACAGCCAUGUCACCCUGCAGCCCAAGACCGGUUACUCACUGAAGCUAAGCAGGGCUGAGCCUGGUCAGAACCUGGAUGGGAGACCACUAGGGAACACUAGGUUGCUGUUGGAA